rnacentral:rRNA from 1 species
CCCGUCACAUCACGAAAGUGAGUUGUACUAGAAGUCGCCGCGCUGACCGCAAGGAGGCAGGCGCCCAAGGUAUGACUCAUGAUUGGGGUG